UGCGCAGUGUGGGCACAUCCGGGCACUGGGGCAGGAUGAGCGCUCCUUUCCAAGAUGGCGGCGGAGGGAGGAGGGAAGGAGAUGAACGAGAUUAAGACCCAGUUCACCACCCGGGAGGGGCUGUACAAGCUGCUGAGCCACUCGGAGUACAGCCGGCCCAACCGCGUGCCCUUCAACUCGCAGGGCUCCAACCCCGUCCGUGUCUCCUUCGUCAACGUCAACGACCAGAGCGGGAACGGGGACCGGCUCUGCUUCAAUGUGGGCCGAGAGCUCUACUUCUACAUCUACAAGGGGGUCCGCAAGGCUGCGGACUUGAGUAAACCAAUAGACAAAAGGAUAUACAAAGGAACACAGCCUACAUGCCAUGACUUCAAUCACUUAACAGCCACAGCAGAAAGUGUGUCUCUUCUAGUGGGCUUCUCCGCAGGCCAGGUCCAGCUUAUAGACCCUAUUAAAAAAGAAACUAGCAAAUUAUUUAAUGAGGAAAGACUAAUAGACAAGUCCAGAGUAACCUGUGUAAAAUGGGUACCGGGUUCGGAAAGCCUUUUCCUAGUAGCUCAUUCCAGUGGCAAUAUGUACUUGUAUAACGUGGAGCACACUUGUGGUACCACAGCCCCGCACUACCAGCUACUUAAACAAGGAGAGAGUUUUGCAGUGCACACUUGCAAGAGUAAAUCCACAAGAAACCCUCUGCUUAAAUGGACAGUAGGUGAGGGUGCCCUGAAUGAAUUUGCCUUUUCCCCUGAUGGGAAGUUCUUGGCGUGCGUGAGCCAGGAUGGUUUUCUUCGCGUGUUUAACUUUGAUUCGGUGGAAUUGCAUGGUACAAUGAAAAGCUACUUUGGAGGACUGCUGUGUGUGUGUUGGAGUCCCGAUGGGAAGUACAUAGUGACAGGCGGAGAGGAUGACUUGGUGACAGUUUGGUCUUUCGUGGACUGUCGAGUCAUAGCGAGAGGCCACGGACACAAAUCGUGGGUCAGUGUCGUUGCGUUCGAUCCAUAUACCACUAGUGUAGAAGAGAGUGACCCGAUGGAAUUUAGCGGAAGUGAUGAGGAUUUCCAAGACCUCCAUUUUGGCAGAGACCGAGCCAAUAGCACGCAAUCUAGAUUAUCCAAAAGGAACUCUACAGACAGUCGUCCAGUAAGUGUUACAUAUAGAUUUGGUUCAGUAGGCCAGGACACACAGCUCUGUUUGUGGGAUCUUACAGAAGAUAUCCUCUUCCCCCACCAACCUCUCUCAAGAGCAAGGACACAUACAAAUGUCAUGAAUGCCACAAGUCCACCUGCAGGAAGUGGUGGAACUAACCCGGGAAGUAAUGGAAACAGUAUCACAACACCUGGAAACUCUGUACCCCCUCCUCUUCCACGAUCAAACAGCCUUCCACACUCUGCAGUCUCAAAUGCUGGCAGUAAAAGCAGUGUCAUGGAUGGUGCCAUUGCUUCUGGCGUUAGUAAAUUUGCAACCUUAUCGCUACAUGAUCGGAAGGAAAGACACCAUGAAAAAGAUCACAAGAGAAACCAUAGCAUGGGACAUAUAUCUAGCAAGAGCAGUGACAAACUGAACCUAGUUACUAAAACCAAAACGGACCCAGCUAAAACUUUGGGAACACCUCUCUGUCCCCGAAUGGAAGAUGUUCCCUUGUUAGAGCCUCUUAUCUGUAAAAAGAUAGCACAUGAAAGACUGACUGUGUUAAUUUUUCUUGAAGACUGUAUAGUCACUGCUUGUCAGGAGGGAUUUAUUUGCACAUGGGCAAGGCCUGGUAAAGUGGUAAGUUUUAAUCCUUAAUGCUGCAUCAAAGAACUAGAACUCUGAAUAGAUAGUUUUCUUGAAAUAUAAAUGAAUGUUGAAUAUAAAAUUUCUUUAUGCUUAAUGUAAAAAAAAAUAUCCUCAGAGCCAUACUUUUGGAUACUGCAUGCCAUAUUUCUGAAUGAUUUGAAGUGUCUUGGAUACAAUUAUUAAGUAUAGUUGCCUUCCAGCAGAAGAAAUAAAUACUGUGCAUCUAAACUAUUGAUCAGUGUUCUUAUACUUAAGCAUAACCACAAUAUGGUGAAAGCUGUUUAUGUAAAAAUUGAAGUAAAACCUGUCAAACACUAAAAUAAUUAUAAUCCUUCUAACUUUUUCUACAAAAUACAGCACUCCCAAUGAGAGUAGCUUACGAAAAGCUGCUGCUUUUAAGUCUAAUGAGAAAUGUGAGCCUCUGAAAAAAUUAAAGCCAAAGUGUUUUAUUCCUUCAUACUUUUCUGUGGUGGCCUGCCAUUAAUGUGAAACCACUUCUUAUUCAAACAUCAGGCAUUUUAUGCACAGAUUUGUGAGCCCUGUACUGACUGUAGCUUAUGUUCUUGAAAUUGUGAAUCAGUAUUAUCAAGAAACUCUAAUUUUAGCCAGGUAUUGAUUUAUGUAUUUAAGUUAGAUAAAAUCCUGCAGGCUUUCUCUGAGUAGUUUCAGUGUUUUGUUCCUGUCAGGUUUUAGGCAAUUUGAUCAUCGACAAGCUCGUGCUUUUGAUGGCACCUGUUCCAUCAAUUGAACCUACAUUAAAAUCUAUUACUAGUUCUAACUCUUCUUGUUAAUGCACUUGAACACCUAUAAAACUUUAUUUUUCCUUCUGUCCAAUGUAUAGCGAGCUAAAUUUUUAAUGAAGCUAAAUGUGGUGAUUCUUUUGUUAAAAAGUACUUUGUGCUACAGUAGCUCUGUCUGCCAGCAACAGUUCAAAGGAAUACAGCUAUGAAAACAUUACCAGAGUUGGUCUGGCAAAAAGGACCAUUAUUUUGGUGAAAAUUUCUGAAAGGGGAUGUAGAUUAUCACGUGAAGUAAAAGAGAUUAUCUGGUAAUACCUGAAUAUUGCCAUGUUGGGCAACCUAAAUGAAAAUCUGUUGUUCGUUAGUUUUUAACCACUUGGUUCAUAAAUCUGACUUCUGAAGUGGAGGUACUGUAUAUAUUUAGAUACCACAUCUUCAUUGCUAUAAACUUCCAAGUAAAACUCAAUUUUUCUUAGAACUGUUUGUAUAAUGUAGGUUUCUUUGAGAUGUUAUCAAAUUUGUCACAACAUAGGUGUAUGCAUAGAGAGCUGUGUCUGCUCUGCAUCUUAAUGCAUAUUUAAAGGUUGAAUCUAAAACUAAAAGUUGUAAACCCUUCUCUGGGGAGAAGGGAGGAGGGUGUUACCUAAAAGUAUUUUUUUGUCUCAGAACUAGAGAUCCAGCAUUAAUGAAGGGGAAAAAAAAAAGAGCAUCCCCUCAGAAUACUAAACUGUUUAAAACAUUUGUCCUAAAUGAAAAUACUAAAGCAGUUAUACUUUUGUGACUCAGUGCACUUCACAUCUUAUGAAUUAACUUUAGAUGCUUACAGCAGUGCCUCAGAUUGCUAUUGUGAGCUAUAUUUUCUUUUGGUUCUAAAAUUCCUUUGUAUACUACUAAACACUACAUUGUUACAUUUAUUUUCAGUGGCUGAGGUGGGUUUUGUUAGACUGAGUAUAACUUAAAUAUUUUUGUGUAUUGACUUUGAUUUGGAAUAUGACAUUUCAAAUAUUUCAGAGAUAAAGUAUGCAGUACCAAAAAUCAGGAUUUAUGUAUUGGCCAAUAUGGAAAACUUUAAUUACAGCGGCUCCAUUUUACGUGAAUGAAAGUUGCUGAUGAGUUCCCUGUGUGAGAAAGCUCGAGGUAAGAUUGGCCAGAAGCACCCCCAGGAGAAAUGGCAGUGUAUAACCUAGCAAGAGAAACAUGCUACCACUUUGUAAAACAAAUGCACAUGGAAUUUAUUUAUUUGACUUAUUGUACAGGAAAACUUAGACUUAAAUUAUAACAUCCUUGAAUUUUCUAGUUAACUACAAUUGUAGUACAGUAUCAUGUUUUAGUAUGACUUCUGUUUUAGUGAAAGUACUUAAACAUUAUUUGAGUGAGAUGAGCAGCUAUACAUACUAAUUCUUCCUCAAUGGAAAGGAGCAUUUCAUCAUUACAAUUGAAGUUCAAUUGCUGGUAUUUAAGUACUAUCAAAUAGAUUUCUUUCAACGUGAUACGGUAUCUGUAUAAACUUCAGGGAUGAUUAUAGUAAAACUGAAACACAGCUAUACGACAUCAGGUUACCAUGCUAAAAUUUGAAGCUUUCUGUAAUGUGCAUAAUAGCAAAGUUGCACAUGGCCUACCCCCAUUAUCAGGGUGAAUUAAAGCCUAGUACACUGGUGUGAUAUUUAUAGCGAGGUAUGUGUGUGUGUGUGAGUGAGGAGGUGUGAAUAGUGGCUCCAGUAAAGCCAGGAGAGAUCAUAACCCUGUAAAGGCUUUAUGAUAGGAUGUCUGGACUAGGAAAUAACAUGACUUUUACUAAACACUUUCUAGAAAACCCAUGUUCUGAAUUAUCACCUCUUAAAAUUUGAGUAUGUACUUGGAAUGACUGUAUAUGUCUGCCCCUUUAACAACAUAAAGCUACUAAAUUAAUAUUUAAAAUGCUGGCCUGCUUAUGUUACAAUAAUAAAAUUUGUGUCAGUUAAUUUACUGUCAAUUUACAUGUAAAGAUUAAACUAUUUUUUCUGCAUUUUAUGAUUCUGUAUACUGGAGUUUGUUAAAGAUUGACAUGUUAGGUGAUACUGUACAAAAUUGUAUUGACUACCUUUAGUGAAAAUCAAAAGUAAAAUUCAUAUGUAUUUCCUUUUUACACUUCCAUCUAAUUUCUGACAACUUGAAUAAAUUUCAUAGAGCCUUUCUAACAUGAACUAUUGUUAAUUUAACUGUUGCAAUAAUUAAGCUUUAAGAAGUAUUGUUGGUAUAUUUAUAAUUUUAAGAAGAUCAUGUUUGUUUCAUACUGCUUAUUUUUAGCUGUUCUAUUGUCACUGUUACAGCUGAAGAACUUUACUAAAUACUUGACAUUACAAAAUAACUUGCUGGGGUUGUCCUCUGUAUACUGAUGUUAAAUAAAAAUGUGUGAUUGAACUGUAAAUGUAGAUAACUUUCAAUAGUCCUUUCCACAUUUGAGUUUUAAUUUAUCUUGCAGUCCUUAGGUGGUCUUAUGCUGUCACACCGUGCUGAGCAAAUGGCCACAAUGAAACUGUUAACUUGCCAUAUUUUAAAGUCAGAAGUUGUUGGCAUCUGUAACUGCUCUGAGUCAAUGUUUCACUUCAUCUCAAGACGAUGCAGAUGUUUUAAUGUUUAAAUCUUGCUGAUAAGGUCAUGUCUUAUGAUAGCUAUUUUUUUAGGACUAGAGUAACAUGUAACAGAAUACUUACCAAACCACUUUUCGAACUUGUUUAAACUCAGAUUCAGUAGAACACAGACACGCACGUGUUCAGAUUCUCUCUGCCUCUCAGGCAGGAGCUGGGGCAGAGUUGUCAUUCCUUCUAGGACUCUACAGGAGCUCUUUCCUCUAAGGACUCUGAUGCAGGCUUUGUUCUUGAUUCCAGCUUUAGAUCUUGGUGUUUACCUAAUGCAUGCUGAAUUUACAGCCCCGAGGAUGUGGCUCAUAGAGCUGAUUCAAGCGAACAGAAGUAAACUAGUAUAAAGCUUUGGCUGCAAAAUUUCUUGGAGUCAAUUUCGGCGAAGACUUAAGAUAUUCUCCUUCCACCUGAGGGACUAGGGAUUGUGUCACCCUUGCAGCAGUGGUUCUGUGUUAACCGGUGAAAGAGCCACACAAAUGAUAUUUACUAAAGUGUUUCAAAGGAAUUUUUCAGGGUUUCCAGUGUAAAAGUGAGUUACUUUGGGCCCAGACUGACAGGGAGGAGUGUUGUUUGUCUCUUAUGUAAAAAUACUCUGUAGACUAAAGCUGAGGGAAUCAUCUUUCUUAGGUGAACUUGAGAGCUCUGUGGUACUUCAGAAGGUAUUGAUUGACCACUGUGAUGAUCUAAACAUAGAACAUAAAUGUAUAUUUAAGAACAGGUGCCAGUAUAGGAACAAAAUGAAAUCUGCUUGAAAGCUUCUGGGAACAUCCAGUUACAUCAAAUGAUGCAAGAACUGCUUGGUCAAACCAGUUUCUCUGAAGUCAGUGUGAGCCUGAAACAAAACCACCUUCCACAGGGUUUGUGGUCAGAGAAGAUUUGGCAAAAAGAUGUCUUGGAACAUGAAGGCGUCAUCUUGCUUGUCUUUAAUAGUGUUGCACAAACUUCUCAAGGAAAUAACUUGUAUGAUCAUGUUAUUUUCUGGGUUUUUAAGCUGGAUUUUAGGUAGCUGCUGGUCAACCUUAUCAAAUUCAUUUGCCUCUUUUCUUCUGCUGAGACCACAUUCACUUUACAGCUAAACCCAGAUGGGGUUGCCUUAAGCCAUAUGUUUUUCCCUGAGGUUUUCCCUGGUUUAUCUCAAUUUUGUUAUUUUCUAAUCUGAAAAUUUUACACCUUACUGACUUUUGUAGCUUGAGGAAACUAGAGAAACUGUUCCUGAGCAUGUGAGCCUCUACUACCUAAGUGAAGCUUAAGGUCCUGUUGUUCUGGGCAGGUCAGAUCUCUGCUGGCAAAAGCCUUUUUUUGCCUUUCCCAGCGCACAAGUAGUUGCAUCUUAACCUUUUUGUUUUCCUCUUGGACGUGCCUAUCUUCCGUUCACCAACCAUACAUUAUUCUUGAUGUCAUCUUGCCUAAUACCACUGGACAGAUUUUUAGUUAGUCUGCUUGUUUUCUACCAGCCUUGACUUUGCUUUUUGUUGACAAUGAAUAAAAUGGUGAUACAGGUCUGUUAGGAAAAAACCUCUUUUAUGUACACAGAAGAGGAGUUGCAAGUGAAACCUCGAAGCCACUACAGGCUUUUAUAAGGUCGGGUGUCAAAUGGUUUAAGCAUUUAUACUUUUCUGUAAUGCUGUUAGAGCAAAGGACAAAAGGCAAAUGGAAGACAAACAAUAAAUUUAAAAUUCCUUUUAGUGAACGCACAAACUGCGUAAAGAAGGGUAUCAACUUUGCUGAUACAUAAAUCCCAUACAAACUAUUUCUAGCAUGUUAUGUGAAUGUUCAUCAUGUGCUUUCCUGAGCAUUCUCAGUUAAGCAGUUUUAUCUCCAUUAGAGAUUAACAUCUGAUUUAGUGAGUAUAUACAGUUCAGAGACUUAUUCAAAUGAAUCAGCAUUUAUUUAACAAGAAACUGUUGGAGAAUUUGUUCGUGCAAAACUUAAAACCAGUUCAGCUGAUUUGACUACAGAAUUUUACACAAAUGUGAGAAAUCUCAUUCUGUUUUUGGCAUAUUAUUGCUCAAAUACUGUAAUGGAUGUGGGCUCUUUUGUCAAGCAAAGGUCUCAGUCAAGAUUACUUUGCUAAACAAAAGAAGAAUAAACUACCCAUGGAAUAUUUUUCAAAUAAUAAAUUCCCAUUAUUUCAAAUACUGGCAAUAGAAAUGGUUUAACAAGUCAGUGCCCAUUUUUGUAUGGGCAUUUGUUAAUUCAGCCAUAUUUUAAUUGGUUUAAUUGCAUUAGUGAAGUGUUCUAUGAGACUUUUUUUUUUACAUUGGAUUGUUUGUUGCAUUGAACCCUUCGUUUUUACUACCUUUCAAUUUCAAAACAGAAAGUAGAAAGAGGAGCAGUUUGACAUCCAGCACAUUCCUGAGAGCCAGGGGAGCUGUUUCCCUGAAGUGUUUCCCUGCUCCUGUCCAGGGCAGAGGGAGCGUGUGCCGAGAGCCUCGUGAAGGAGCAGGGAGCACAUGCACUUCCUGUAUCCCGCUCCUGUGUCCAAACUGGCCGUUUAUGAUCGCACCUUUGGCUCCAAUUAAAUCUCUUCUAAUUUAAAUGAAGAAAAUAUUAACUCAGGAGUUACUGUUGACUUUUUUCCUACUUAGAAGUAUCAUAGUAUCUUCCUGGGUUUUUGUUUUUAAUGCAGCAAUUACACACUGAUCUUUCAUAGAAUUAGUUUCUGCUGUGAAACCUUAUGUUUCAUGUCUUUCGAAAAAAAGCCAGACUUUCAUCUGGAGUGUAUGUGGAAUUUUUAAAAAAAUACCUACCCAUGUAGUCUCCUGAAUGGGGAGGAGGGUUUGUCUUUGCUGCAGGUCCUCAGACCACAGCUCUGAGUGCCCUGAACCUCGGGUGCAAAUGACCCUCCCGAUCCUGUUUGUUGGGGCUUUUCAUUCCUACCCACACAAGCGUGUUUUUACCAGGUAUGCAAAGUCCUGUGUGUUUCAGGAAGUCAGAGAAUGUAUGGACAAACAUGGAUAGCCCCAGCAGCUACUGCUGACACAGCCUCUGUUCAGUACUCAGCGCUAAUUGACUGAGGAAAAUUGACACCAUCCUCUGAAAGCUGCAUCUGUCAUUUGUCAUCCGCAGUGUCCAUUAAGAUGGCACAUGGGGUAGCGCCCACUUGGAGGACCCUUCGAGGUUGAGAUGAACAUUGUUUUAUCAAAUUCCUGCCUUGUAUCUCAUAACUCUUCCAUUUCCCACCCCCUGCUAGAUCCACAGGCUGACAGACUAUUACUACAACACUACAUUUAUUUCCAAAACCUUUUUGAGCAGUCUCUUAAUUUAUCUGUGCUGCUUUCUCAGUGGGCUAUGUUUGUCCCAGAGCCUGAAGCUGCUGCACUGCCCGGCAGAGCUGUGGCUGCCAUGGCUCUGCUCUUCCAUGUUCCUGUCACAGCUGUUCAAUGGGGCAGCUUGGCUGUUGCCCCAGUAAGUUGCUGCAGCUUCUGUUCCAUCUUUUCCCACCUCGUUGACCAGACUGGGUGGUUCCAUCACAGCAGGCACUGUGCUCUUGUGGCUUUAUUCUUUAGUUACAGGCAGGAGCUUUUUAUAUUUUUUCAUAACCUUACCCAUCGUAUUAUUCCAGAGAACACAAUUACAACUGUUCUAGUCCCAUACCCUUUGUAUUACAGACCAGACUCUUAUAGGGGAACUUUUGUAGCAAAAGAAUAAUUUUAUUUGAGCCCUCACUUGCUUUUCUAACAUUGUUUUUAAAGUUUCCUGUUACACCUGACAUAACUUCUUUCAUAGCCUUGCUUGGCUCUGGUAUAAUGGCAAAAUUCUGUACAAUCUUUGUUGUUUCUCAGGAUACAUGAAGAGCUUUCACCAUUUUGGUGAAACUUCUGUGCCUAAAAACCAAAUUCAUAUUCUUGCUUUUCUUAUAUGAACAUAUGUCUUUUGAAAUGAAGUACUUGGAAAUGCUCAUAGACUUUCUGGUCUCUCCAGUGGGAGUGAAGUUCUGAAUGGCCAUUGUAGUCUGGUCCCAAAUUUUAAGGCAGGACUUGCAAAGUUUUUGUCCAUCAGCAGGAGCAGGAGGAUAUUAAUCUUGAGAUCAUUUCCACAGCAGUGUUCCUCUGGCUUGCCUGCUCAGAGUUGCAGAAUUAAUUCAGAGCAAGGACUGAAAUAGUGGGAGUUCCUAGGACUCACUCAAAGCCAUCUGCACUGCUGCUCUUUAAAGCAGGGAGCAUUCGUGGCCUGGGAGAUGAAACCAGGACUGACUCCAUGUUCCUGCAUUUGGAAUUUGAAUUCCAGGGUGGCUGGUAGUUAUGGAGAAUAAGGCACUGUAUUGAAUUCAGUAUGUGCUGCCAGUUUCUAGAGGAAUUCUAGGAAAAUGAAUGACUCUUCCUUUUGUUUCCCAAAAACUAGUUGUGUUACAGCAUAAAUCCAAUACUAGGAUAGUGGUUAUUUCUCCCUCUCUCUAGUGUGGUUAUGAGCCUGUUGAAAAAGACUUGAUAUCAUGCCAUCCCUAGUGCUUCCUGUGUGCUUAUAAAGCACAUAUUUGCAUAUGAAUGGUUUGGAUUGCUGAUUUAUUAAAGACUGAAAAUAAUACCUUUGGACGUCUUUUUCCAGGGUACUUGAAAGUUGUUUAGUGGAUGUAAUCUUCUGGCAAGAAAGACCUUCCAGUUGCUGCUGGAUUUAAUAGACUUGUGAAGAAUGCUUCAGUAAUGAACUAGAGAGUUCUGAUUCAUCCUCAUCACUUUCCAACAAAACUUCCUUGGUAAAAAAUUUCAUAAGUGCUUCAGUGGCUUGUUUGCUCUAAAGUUCUGCCUUCUUUCACCAUCUAGUCCUUAACUAAUAACUAAGAAGCUUCUUGUUCUCAUUAAAUAUGCAGUAUCUUUGCACAGCCUGAAUGUCAAGUGCAAAAAACAACCCACUUCAGUCUACCUCAGCAGUUUGAGAAUCACAAAACCCCUGCAUAAACCUGAGUACAAAUAAAAGUGAGUGUCCAAGUUCCUUCAGGUGAGAUCUAUGGAGGGCACUAAAUUAAGUGCCACAUCCUUUAUUAGAAAUACAUGUUUAUUAUAAAUAUGGAAUGUAUGCACAUGUACACAGAUCCAGAGUCUGCUAUAAAUCCAGCAAACUAUCCAGGUUCAUAACGUGUCUGAACUGGUAGAUCAGAUGGUUUUUUAAAAGGAAGGGCUUUGGUUUUAGUAGAAACUUGAUGACUUGAAUCCAGCCAGUCUGGCCCUCUUUCAACCUCUUCCAUCAGUCAUGGCCUCUCAUUUCUUGCAUCCAAGCAUGAAAGAGCUCCUGUAGAUUCUGAAGAUGGGACAUAAUUCUAACUUGAAUGCUAAUUGCUGCCUGAGCUUGUCUAGUUUGAUGGAUCUGAGUCCCGGGAUCCUCAUUUUGAGGUAAGGACCUAAGAUGGGAGCUGCUUAGGGGAGUUGCUGAAAGUGCAUUUAUGCCUACAUGGUGAGGAGUUGCAUGGGGAUAGUCUCUGGUGUGCUUCCAGCUGCCAGUGCUCCUCAGCCUGCUGGCACUCGUUAGAACUAAAUAAUGACCUUGAAAGAAUGCUAAAUUGUAUUUUGAUAUUAAGCUUUUCCUAAAUAAGUCUGAUAAACAGUUACUUCUACAUGAAUGAUUAAAAAGGGGCUACUGUGCACAAAUCUGAAAUGUGGUCUGUCCAUUGGUAUCCACAGGUCUAUCCAUAGGUGUAGUUGCCUUAAUCCAGAGCAGUAGCCCCUGCGUAGCGAGGGGGCCGCGCAGUCGCGGGGCUGUGUCUGAAGUGGAACAGGUCUCUCUUGAUUUGAAUGGCAGGGUGGGUAAAGCAGCUGGUAAAAAGCUUUCCUGAAUGUGAGCUUGAAUUGUCAUGGGAAACUUUUACUGAGCUCUUGUCAGUGUUCCAUUCUCUUUUAAAAUCACCAAAACAAAUAUUUGGUUAGAUUAUGUAUUUUUCUAUUCAAAGCUCGUAAUACUCGAUCACAUAAAAGAGAUGGAGCGUUUCCCUGUCCGGUCAGGUGUCAAACUUGUUGAUAGUGGAAUAGGUUUGUUUGUCACUGCCCUAAUAAAAUGCUGAUCACUUUUUUGGUGUAUGAUUUUUAAAGUUUCACAGUUCACAAUGACUCAAAAGUGCAAGGUAGAUUAAACCAAAUGCUGGGAUCAGAUCCUUUCCGUGUCCUAAACGCACACGUUUUGUUCCCGACUGAGAGCUCUUUGUGUGCUGCUUGGCUGAGACCGUGGUGGCUUAGAGCCUGUGUAGAAGAAGGUGCUGAUGUCUGGAGUAAGCAAGUGGUGGUAAAAAUAAAUUGUACUCAUUGUAGGUUCAGGUUAAGAACUUUAUAAAAUUCAUGUCAGGUUCUCUUGCUGGAUUAAUGUAAACUGCUUUGUUUGCAGGGUUUAUUGUCAUCCCAAAACCAGGCCAAUUCUCCAAGUGGAACUGUAGUAUAGCCAUCACACUACUGCUAGCAAAUCUCUGAACGCAGGACAAGAAGUAAUGACAGUGGAACCAGGAGCUGUUCUUCAGGCAAAGAGCAUCACAAAUUUUAAUGUGGCAGAGUGUAAACAUGGAAUUAUGUGAAUCACAUAGUGACUUGCAAAGGACAAAUGCAAUGGGUUCUCACUACAGCUGAUCCUGGUAGGCUGCUCACCCAAGGAAGAGUUUGCAUUGGAGAAAAAGCAAAAAGCUUCCUUUGGUGCUGCAGGAAAAAGUAGUAACAUAUUUGGUUUUCUUUAUACUUUUCAAGUCCAGUGUAAUUUAAUCUCUCUAUAUAAAUAUAUAAAUAAAAGAUAUAUAUAUAUAUAUAGUGUAAAAUAAGAUAUGUUUCUUAAAUUCAAGUAAGUUCAAUGGUUAAACUAGUACUUCACCAUUGUUUAUUUUGCACUGAUUUUUUUAACCAGAGAUGGCUAGAAGACAGCCUGGAAUGCACUCAUGGAAAAUGAAAGUCAUUACUUUCUGGCUUCAAAAUGUUAUUCAGGAAGAUGGAUGCUGCAAUCAUAGAUUUUUUUAAAACAAAAUUGUUUUGCACUUAAAUAGUUUAAUGCUAAUAGAGAAUUACUUUAAAAUUGGUGUUCAGACACCAGAAAAACUAUGUUGUGGAGAAAAGAUCCUUUGUAUCUAUUAAACAUUUAUUUUAAUAUUGUUGUUUUCAACGGCAAUCGGCUCUGUAUUAUAUGUAUAAAUAAUGUAAUUCAGUGAUGGGGGAGGGGAGUAACGGAUCAUUACACUAGAGAUUCUCAUUCAUUUAAGAAAGUGAUAUUUCUAAUUCAGAAAAUACAUAUUAAACUAUCUUGAAUAUGCAUUUUUGUUUACUUUCUGUUCAAAUUCGAUCACUUUUGAUGUAACCAAUCCUUUGUUGAAUUAAAUGUUUGGUACAGAAAUACUA